rnacentral:rRNA from 1 species
GACGAACGCUGGCGGCGUGCUUAACACAUGCAAGUCGAGCGGUAAGGCCCUUUCGGGGGUACACGAGCGGCGAACGGGUGAGUAACACGUGGGUGACCUGCCCUCAGCUCUGGGAUAAGCCUGGGAAACCGGGUCUAAUACUGGAUAUGACUCCAUGACGCAUGUUGUGGGGCGGAAAGCCUUGUGCGGCUGAGGAUGGGCCCGCGGCCUAUCAGCUUGUUGGUGGGGUGANGGCCUACCAAGGCGACGACGGGUAGCCGGCCUGAGAGGGCGACCGGCCACACUGGGACUGAGACACGGCCCAGACUCCUACGGGAGGCAGCAGUGGGGAAUCUUGCGCAAUGGGCGAAAGCCUGACGCAGCGACGCCGCGUGAGGGAUGACGGCCU